rnacentral:rRNA from 1 species
CCACGCUGUAAACGCUGUCGAUUUGGGGGUUGGGGUUUAACUCUGGCGCCCGUAGCUAACGUGAUAAAUCGACCGCCUGGGGAGUACGGCCGCAAGGUUAAAACUCAAAUGAAUUGACGGGGGCCCGCACAAGCGGUGGAGCAUGUGGUUUAAUUCGAUGCAACGCGAAGAACCUUACCUACUCUUGACAUCCUAAGAAUUCUGUAGAGAUACGGAAGUGCCUUCGGGAACUUAGAGACAGGUGCUGCAUGGCUGU